CCUACGGGCGGCAGCAGUAGGGAAUUUUCGUCAAUGGGCGCAAGCCUGAACGAGCGAUGCCGCGUGAGUGAAGAAGGCCUUCGGGUCGUAAAGCUCUGUUGCGGGGGAAAAAAGGCAGCAUCAGGAAAUGGGUGCUGACUGAUGGUGCCCCGCCAGAAAGUCACGGCUAACUAAGUGACAGCAGCCGCGGGAAUACGUAGGUGGGGGGAGUUAUCCGGAAUGAAUGGGCGGAAAGAGUGUGCAGGCGGUCCGGCAAGUCUGGAGUGAAACGCAUGAGCUCAACUCAUGCAUUGCUUUGGAAACUGGAGGACUGGAGAGCAGGAGAGGGCGGUGGAACUCCAUGUGUAGCGGUAAAAUGCGUAGAUAUAUGGAAGAACACCAGUGGCGAAGGCGGCCGCCUGGCCUGUUGCUGACGCUGAGGCACGAAAGCGUGGGGAGCAAAUAGGAUUAGAUACCCCUGUAGUC
rnacentral:rRNA from 1 species